GAAAUGCGAUACGUAAUGUGAAUUGCAGAAUUCAGUGAAUCAUCGAAUCUUUGAACGCAAAUUGCGCUUUUGGGUCACCCUGAGAGCAUGCCUCGUUCAGUAUCGUUUCAACCCACAUCUAAAGCUUUAUUGCUUUGGGAAAAUGAGGCGUCUUUAUGCUAGUCAUAAAGUCCCUUGAAGUACAUCGAGUUAACAUCAUUGUAUGUUCCUUUUUCUUCACAGAAAAAGCCUUCUUUACUCAGUCUCAAUGGAGAUACUUGACUUCGUGUCAUUCUUUUCAUUGAUUCCGGCUGAUCCUAAGCGGGAGUAGCAUAUAGGUGAAGACUUUAAAACUUUGCUUAAUAGCAAAAAUACCUAACGAUCUGAUCUGAACUGAGGUAGGAUUACCCGCUGAACUUAA
rnacentral:misc_RNA from 1 species